GGCGAUAUGGCUCAGGUUGUAGAGUGCCUGCCUAGCAAGUACAGAGUCCUGAGUUCAAACCCCAGCACUGCCA
rnacentral:tRNA from 1 species